rnacentral:ncRNA from 1 species
CCAGAAGAGGCGCAAUUACCAGGUAAGUAACAAGAGGAGCCCAUCCACUGACUGUUACCUAGGGGGAUAAUUGCCGAGAAUGUUGAUAUUGGGUUAUGUCACAUUCGGUCACUAAGGCUGAAUCCUUAGGGCUGUCACCGCUAAAAUUUUUUAGCAUAGGGUGGAGAGCUUCUGGC